AUGCCAUCUGCAGGGAGAGAGAAGCGACAUAGGCAUAACUUUCAUCAUGUAACAACACACACUGCACAGGAGUGGGCAGAAACUUUUGUAAGUGAGCUUAAUGAUACUGUUGUUGAAGCACAACUGAGGACAAAGCAAGUUCCACCACGGCUCCCAGCUGACAAGGCAAUUGAACAAUAUCUGACGUCAACCAAUCGGCUACCUAUUUUGGGAUUCAAUGGAACAUUAACUGAACCAGUUGAGAGAAAAGGGUAA